UGUGUCAUGCAGCUGCUAUGGGGGGAUGGAGGAGGAGUUGCAUUGGCAAUUCAAGACUGCCUUUCUUACCCUUUUCAGUGCCUCUUUCAGUGAUACGAAGCUAAAACCAGAUACUGCUUUCAUAGUACUCUUCUGACCAUGGUUUUCUGGAGUUUUUUCGUAUGGAGUUUGUAAGCUUCCUGACAUGGAUUAUAACUGUACUUGAUGGAGCACAGUUAUAAUAGCUGCUUUAGAGUCCUUGAUAAUUCCCACAUCUGAAUCAUCUCGAGUUAUUUUUGGCAGAUUUUGAUGGAUGUACAUUGAUGGAUAGCCACAUGGAUCCAGAAAAUAAAGACUUCUACUCUGCAUAUUGACUAAAGCAGAAGAUAUGCAGGGAAGCUCAGUCUCUCAAUUGAGUGGAUUCUGAAAUUUAUCCUGUUGUCUUCAGCUACUAAGGCUAAUUUGCAAAUCACACUGUGUACGGAAACAACCUGUUCAGUGGCUGCUGAUUAACUCCCAAAGAUUGAUGUACUGAAGAAGAAUGACCUCCCCCUUGACACCAAUGCUACUAGUCAAUAACAACCACUGUGACUCAGAACAAAUUCUCUGGGGGCAGGCAGUGAAGCUUCUUCUUUUGUUGACCUUACCAGACCACAAGGCUGAAAAUAUUCUGUGGCCUGAUGCCCUUAAAUUGAUCAUAUUCAUACAAUCAAGCAGAAAAGAAAUUAUUUUUCCCUCUCUCUCUCUGUCUAUAUAUAUACUUACUACUAUAUACAUAUGUGUGUAUAUAUAUGCUAUAUAUGUGUGUGUAUAUAUAUGCUAUAUAUGUGUGUGUAUAUAUGCUAUAUAUGUGUAUGUAUAUAUAUAG
rnacentral:lncRNA from 1 species